CACACACACACACACUCUCUGCAUUAUAUACACACACACUGCAUUAUAUACACACACACUGCAUUCAUACACACACACACUCUGCAUUAUACACAUACACACACACACUCUCUGCAUUAUAUACACACACACACUGCAUUCAUUCUAUACACACACUGUAAAUAAAUAUUCAAUUAAUAUAAUUUUUUUGGGAUCUAAUUUUAUUUAGAAAUUUACCAGUAGCUGCUGAAUUUCCCAC